UGGAUCCCCACCAAGCUCACACAUAGAAAGAGCACAGAUUCGCUGUGCUUCUGCUACUGAACCAUUUCCGUGAGAGAAAGAGUGUGACAAAUUCAGGUGAAAAGCAAUGGGAAUAGCAGCAGCAAUAGGAGUUCUAUCACCUUUCCCGUUCUACUAUUGGCUAUGGACUUACCCACAAAUAUGGGUUGCCCUAUGCGGGAAAGGGCGUGACCCUUGCAAAGUCAUGGCUUAUGUAGCUCACUUCCUGAAGCUGAUUCAGUUCCUAUCUCUCUUUUCAGUCUCAACCGUCACUUGGCCUCCUCCUCUUUACUUCUGGCCCCUCUUUGCUUUUGGCCAGUUCCUCAACUUCAGGGUUUAUCAAUUAUUAGGUGAACCUGGUACUUACUAUGGAGUUCGUUUUGGAAAGAACAUUCCCUGGGUGACAGAAUUUCCAUUUGGGUAUAUAAAAGAUCCGCAAUACGUUGGAAGCAUCUUAAGUCUUGUAGCAUGUCUGUCAUGGACACCGUUCCUAUACAUUUUCUUGUGGACGUUGGGAUAUGUGUUUAUGAUGCAUGUUGAAUCAAAGGAAGAUCUUGCAACUCGUGCAAAGCCACUGUCAUGAUUCAGGAAAUGAGUUACUGAGUUAGACCAGAGAAGCAGUCAUGUUUACAAAUACCAACCGGUGUUCAAUUGAGAUUGCAGUACGAUUUUCAUUUCCACAGUCCAGCCUUAAGUCAUGUUGAAUUUGGUUUCUCUUCAUCCUCUGCCAUAACAUUUUUGUAGUGAUGUAACUUAACGAACCCUGCAUGGUAUCAAAUUUUCAAGUUUACACAUGUUACAUACGUUGUCAUAGGCUCAUCGGCACUCCUCGUCUGCAUCUGGUAGUAUGUACUCUUGCGUUUCCCGCAUCGACCACAUUUGAAUUGGUCCGUUGUAGCUUCUCGU